GGCUUACACUUGGAACGCCUUCUUGUCCUUCGAAAUUCAGGAAGAUGUUCCUAAUGUAGGCUUC
rnacentral:pre_miRNA from 1 species